AACGAACGCUGGCGGCGCGCCUAACACAUGCAAGUCGAACGAGCGAGCGAGAGCUUGCUUUCUCGAGCGAGUGGCGAACGGGUGAGUAACGCGUGAGGAACCUGCCUCAAAGAGGGGGACAACAGUUGGAAACGACUGCUAAUACCGCAUAAGCCCACGCCUCGGCAUCGGGCAGGGGGAAAAGGAGCCAUCCGCUUUGAAAUGGCCCCGCGUCCGAUUACCUAGUUGGUGGGGUAACGGCCCACCAAGGAGACGAUCGGCAGCCGGACGGAGAGGUUGAACGGCCACAUUGGGACUGAGACACGGCCCAGACUCCGACGGGAGGCAGCAGUGGGGAAUAUUGCACAAUGGGGGAAACCCUGAUGCAGCGACGCCGCGUGGAGGAAGAAGGUCUUCGGAUUGUAAACUCCUGUUGUUGGGGAAGAUAAUGACGGUACCCAACAAGGAAGUGACGGCUAACUACGUG
rnacentral:rRNA from 1 species